AUGGGAAUGGUUGAAGUGGAAUCUACAUAUACUUGGGAGUGGUUUCUUACGACAUUGAAACACGAUCUGAACAUAGUGAACACCUCUCCAUUCACUAUAAUGAGUGACAAACAAAAGGGCUUAAUAAAUGCUGUUGGAAAGGUGUUCUCGGAUUUCGAACAUAGAUUUUGUGUUCGACAUUUGUACCAAAACUUUCAUGGGAUUUUCAAAGGAGAGACUUUGAAAAAUGAUCUCUGGGCAAUUGCAAGAUCCACUAAUGAGAUGAAGUUCAACAUGAAUAGAGAAAAGCUAAGAGAGGACAGCCCUAGUGCUUAUGCUUGGUUAGAGGCUAAACCUCCAAAUCAGUGGGUGAAGGCAUUCUUUAGUGUGUUUCCAAAAUGUGAUAUCCUAUUGAACAAUAUGUCGGAAGUGUACAACAGCUACAUAUUGGAAGCAAGGGAAUUUCCUUCCAUUUCAAUGAUGGAAUGCAUCAAGGGUAAGAUCACGGCAAGACAUGACAGCAAACAAAGGGAAGCAAUAAAGUGGACUGGAAGGAUAUGCCCAAAAAUCAGGAAAAAAAUGGAGAAGGAAAUAGAACUAUCUGCUAGUUGUUUUCCUAGUCAUUCUGGGUUGGGAGUGUUCUCUGUGUUAUCAGGGAACAACACAUACACGGUGGAUAUUGUGGCAUUGACCUGUGAUUGCAAGAGAUGGCAACUAAGUGGGAUACCUUGCAGCCACUCAAUUGCAUGCUUUAGGGAAGAAAGGAUAGAUCUAGAAGAGAUGGUCCAUAAGUGCUACACAAUAGAUACAUAUCUGGAAGCAUAUGGGCACAAUAUAAUGCCAACAAGAGUCAGGGCUCUUUGGGAGCAAGUGGAAGGUCCUAUCAUUCAUCCACCAGUAUACAAGAAGAGGAUGGGAAGGCCACCAAAGAACAGGAAGAAAACACCUGAAGAAAAACUUCAGAAGGAUGGCAGCAUUGCUCUGAACAAGAAAGGUGUGAGUAUGCACUGCUCAAUUUGUGGAAAAGCAGAUCACAACAAAAAAGGCCAUCAAAAGUUCAUGGAGAGGGAGAGGGAGAGGGAAGCUAAUGAGCUAUAA
rnacentral:rRNA from 1 species